rnacentral:rRNA from 1 species
UACAGAGGGUGCAAGCGUUGUUCGGAAUUAUUGGGCGUAAAGCGCGUGUAGGCGGCUUUGCAAGUCGGGUGUGAAAUCCCUCAGCUCAACUGAGGAAGUGCGCCCGAAACUGCAGAGCUUGAGUACCGGAGAGGAUGGCGGAAUUCCCCAAGUAGAGGUGAAGUUCGUAGAUAUGGGGAGGAACACCGGUGGCGAAGGCGGCCAUCUGGACGGAUACUGACGCUGAGACGCGAAAGCGUGGGGAGCAAACAGG